rnacentral:rRNA from 1 species
UACGUAGGGGGCAAGCGUUGUCCGGAUUUAUUGGGCGUAAAGAGCGUGUAGGCGGUCUGGUAGGUCCGUUGUGAAAACUCGAGGCUCAACCUCGAGACGCCGAUGGAAACCCUCAGACUAGAGUCCGGAAGAGGAGAGUGGAAUUCCUGGUGUAGCGGUGAAAUGCGCAGAUAUCAGGAGGAACACCAAUGGCGAAGGCAGCUCGCUGGGACGUGACUGACGCUGAGACGCGAAAGCGUGGGGAGCAAACAGG